GAAUUAAUAUUACUGUGUUCUCAACAUUGCCAUUUGUUUGCACAUUUUAGAGAUAAUAAUGGAUUUAUAAACAAUUCAUAAAUUUUUGGUUGCAUUAUAUUGUUUAUAAGAUACCUGUUUUCGCAAUUCAUUAAAUUGUUUAAAAACUACUUGACGUGUACAAAGUGUUUUUAAUACUCAAUCCUUCAACAAAUUUCUUUGGCUUGCGAGAAAAACCUGCUUGCAAAUUCGAAUACGAUAAUUUUUUCGCAAUGGCUUGGGUUCCAACUACUGACUUUGAAAAGGAAAUUGUUGAUUCCCAACCGGAUCUUGACUUUAUUUUUGGUCGACUUUCGGAGACAACUCAACAACCAUUUUAUCCACGUCCUAAAGAACAUUUGGAUUUUAUAGCAAAACAGAAAGAAUUGAAAAGCAAUAUCGAAAAGAAAUUACCAAGUACUCAAAAUCAUACAUUGAAUAUUAUUUCAAGAGUGCAGCGUAUUGCUGGCACUAAACCUCUGGGUGAACAGCCAACAAUCGAUGAUUGGAAUGAUAACGAGAACUUGGAGCGUGAAACCAUUGCGCUGAUGAGACAUGUUGGUUUAGGACCAAGUAUUGAACAUCCACUUGACGAAGCUUGUACAAUAGCAACACAUCCCAUUAAAGAAGAAAUUAAAAUUAAUCGUAAUGGUCGCAAACAAAUGCCAAUAUUUUUUGAUGAUAAAUUUUUUGAAUUAAAACCACGUGUUGCGAGUUCAGCAUCAUCGUCUGAUAAUAAUAGUCUAAUUUUGGAGACUGAGCCUGCAAUAAAUGAUGAUUCGAACAGUAUAUCGAUGAGGAGCAGUAGCAUUGCCAAAUCCAGCGAUUUAUUGCAGGAACAAUGCACUGAUAGUGGGAAUAGUGGUUUUGAAAGUGCUGUAGACUUUGCCAGAGAAGAACAAAGUUUCGAAACAGCUUACAAUAGUAGUAAUAAUCGAAGUAGAUCGUGUGGCAAUCGAGAAGAUAAUAAAAAGAAAAAUAUACAAAAUUGGCGCAGCGAUAGCAACGAUAGCAACGAUUUUAUUGAAACGCAAUCAUGGAGAAAUAGUUCAAAAGCACACAAAAGAAGUGAGAUGUUUAAGCUAACUGACAAUAGUGAUUAUAAUUGGCGUUCAAAUGCUUCAAAUGCUGCGUAUUUUGAAGGUAAUACUCCUGCAAACAUACCACAGAUGUGUACUCCCAAAGAAUUGUAUCAGCGGAAGCGUCAAACGUGAUAAAUAUAGUCAUUUAUUAAGGAGAAUACGUGUGCAAAUAUCUGAAAUGUUUUUAAACUGUUUUCAUCUACUUUUACAGUGGCGAGUUAAUCUCAAGUUACAUUUUUACGUAGUCAUUCAGCAGUUAACCUAAUUUUUGGCGUCCUAAACAGCUGAGUAUGUAACGGUUGGUUAUUUAUCGUAACCUACGGAGGGACUGAUAAAGUGUCGUUAUACAAAG
rnacentral:misc_RNA from 1 species